rfam:Aedes albopictus isolate Foshan contig60309, whole genome shotgun sequence.
UACCCAGCAACUCCUAUCCACACCUCCCCGUGGUACCAACCGGAAACUACGAGCAACCUUAGAGAAGAUCGGUUAACCAACCGCAGUGGGAACUUUGGUCGUAGUCUGACAGGGAAGG